ensembl:lncRNA novel transcript, antisense to C6orf1
GGCCUGAGCUGACAGGCAGAGGUGGAGAGGGUCAGUCCCCAUCGACAGAAGCAAAGAGAUCGUCCUGGGGCAGUUUGCACGCUGAUGGCCCAAGGUCCGCGACCCAGGUUCGCUUGAGUCUCUAUCAGAGGGCAAGCUCAAACUGUUCCUUCCAUUUUGGGACCAGGGAACAGAGCUCACUUAAUGCUGCUCUCCCACUGAUGAUGCCCACCCAUUCUCGGCCUGCAAGCCCUACCACUCACAGCUUCAAAAAUGGCUCCGCCCUUCCUGAUUCCACCCCACACAGAAGAAAGCAACUUCUUGUGAUGCUUCCUUAUUCUGGAUGUGGCUCACCUCUUACCCCUUCCAACUCCUUUGGGUCCCCUAGAAAGCCUCCCUGGCUAAGGGGUACAGGCCCUCUCCUCAGCAGUGGGCACUGACCGUCUAACCAGGGCUCUGUCUCGGCACCUGGUAGCAAGGACGGCAAGAUACAACAACAUGCUGAUUUUAAUAGCCUCUGGCUUUCUCCACUGCGUUUCUCACCUGAAUGCCCUGCACACCAAAUCUUCCAUGGGGUCACCCUUGACCUCUAGGGCAAUUCCCAAGAAUCUAGCAGAGGAGUGGGGGAAACCAAAAGGCUGACAUGAAGGACUCAAGGGAAGCCUCUGGAAAGAAGAGACCAGACACUAAAAGGGAUGUGUGUGAAAUACUGGUUUUUAUUGGUUGGCACAAGAUUACAACCUACAAUUUCAAUGCCCUUCCCUCCCACACAGCUCAAAUGGAAGGAAACUGAUUAACACAUAGAAAGGAACGGCAGGCUCACAGGUUUAAGCAUUUGUUUUUACAAAAAGGAGUGGGAUAUGGGGGUGGUCAAGUUUUACGGGUAAUAACAACAUUCUCUCUAGAUGGCAGGGGGUAAGUCUGCCUGUCCUCCAUUGCUGGUACCACAUAAGGGAUACAUUAGUAAAGUAGGGAAAGGGUUAUAUGUGUGGCUGGCCUGUUCUUUAGAGAGGAAGGUGGGAUGGUAUCUGCUGUGUACCUGUCUCAGACCAAACCUGGGGCUGGACCAGUGCCCCUUUCUUCUCAGCCCUCCUCCACAGCCUGACUGUACUGCCAGCCGCACCCAUGAGAAGGAGGUGUGAAGGAAGCCUGAGGACAUCCACCUCGAGAAAAGGAAACAGGAAAACUAUUUCCUUCCGCCUUCUCUGGACCAAAUUUCACUCCCCUCAGCUCCAGAGAGUGCUGCAAAAAUCUUCCUUAGGGACGCUGUGAAGACACGGGGAAGAGGCCAGCCCUGAGCGGGCAAGAAGAAAAGCUUGAACUUUCCAUGCAGUACCAAGCAAGGCUAUUUUGGAAACAAGCAAACAAACAAAAAAUGGAAACCAACACCAUAUAACCACAGGUUGGGUAGCUCCUAAAUCCUGGACAGCAUUUGGAUUGGGGGUAAGGGCAAUUUUACUCCAGCUCCUUGUUUUAUAACCCGCACAAGGUGCCAAGAGGUUUAAGGACCACAACUGACCUCUCUUUCCCUACAAGCACCAUUCCUUGGAUUCCCAGUUUUGUUGAGCUCAUUUGAGGUCAUCCUUGCCAUCCUCUUAAAAAAUGACACAGCCUCUUGGUUAUUCCAUUUUCUAUCCCUUUCUACAAUUAUGAACACACUCUCUAAACAGGAGAUCUAUAUAUGCUCUCAUCCUGCAACCCAAGAGAUUAGGUGACCUAAUGAUGAGAAGGCUAACUUAUUUGCUUUCCUGGGUGGUCCUGAUGGAAAUGAACAGCAGCAGAGUUCUGGUGGGAUAGAGCAGUCUAGUCUGAGCCACUGUGUGAUUCCCCAGGGGACUGGUCCCUGGGUACAUGGGUCCCUGGCUCUCUGUCUCAGUUCCACAGAUAUUACUCAACUUGGCCAUUUACGCCUCAGCUAAAACAUAUGAGCAUGAGGGAAAAGGGACAAGAAAUACUUUUGUCCUCUAGAAAAACUUAACUCAAUACAUCUUGGCUACUUUGCCUCAACCCACGGGGUUCCCUGGAAACAUUUGUUGAACUUGGCCAAGAGGAGAUUGUAUAUGGAUGGCACACCUGGAAAAGGGGAGAAAGCACACUAGUUCAUCUCUUUUAUAAGUAGAAUGGUCCCAGGGAUGUUAACCUUUCUGAUGCUGAUAGUAGAUGAGUGGAGUGGAGGUAAUCGUGAGAAAACUUAAAAACCCUUAAGCUGUUUGGAGACUACACACCACAGUGGAGCAAACCAAGGUGGGGCCUCACUGCCUCCUCAGAGCCCAUCCCUGACCAUGUCAUUGGAUAGGAUGGAAGACAAAGUCUUUGAAAUGGAGGCUGGGCUGGCAAAAGUGAUAUCCCAAGUGACACAGAAACACAGCUCCUCCGGAUGGUGAAGUCUCCGCUGCAAAACUCACGAAACAGCACAGAGGAUGACUCUAGGGUGCUCUCCCACUUGCUCCAAGUUAGGCAGGUGCCCUGAUGGAGGCAAGGCUGAGCCAUUAACAUGCACAGCUCCAUAUCCUGGAAGCCUCUGUAGCCUUGAGGAGAUAGGCUCUAUCCAACAGGACUCAGAAUAAAUGACUGCCACCUCAACUGAGCAGUAUGAACUGCCCACCUCAACUGGGCAGUCUGACCUCUUCCACAGUCUUUAAGAAACAGAAGAGCCAUUUGCAUUAUUUAAUCACCAUUCAAUAAUCUCCUCCCUCCCCAUAGCUGCUUGAGUUAACUGUCCCACAAGUGUCCUGUGUUUUGUAAAGAUGAGGGUUAUUUUCUGAAAUGCAGAUGGGACUAGGAUGAAGCUGUAUUAUCAAUUACAGAGACAGCCAACUCUCAUUUCUCUUAAAGCAAAAAUUCAUUCCACUGUGAUUUCUCCAGGUAUUUCCUGCAAUUCUAAAUCCGCCCUUGAUAUUAGAGAAUAUUAAAAUCACAC